rnacentral:lncRNA from 12 species
GAAAUUUCGAAGCUCAGGCAGUGGAUGAAGUUAAGUGACAAAAAGCCUGAAGUGACUUGUCCCAUACAAAGCUCUGUGAGUGGAAGGAAUGAUGUUCACUCACCCAGACAGGGAAAAAUAAAUGUGAAAAAUGAGAUCUCAAGGGUGGCCCUAAAUGACAUUCUCUGCUGGGGAAGGUGGCUGCACAGCAUCUUGUUGGGCUGAAGCAAGAGCGCAUGAACAGAGUUCACUUCUCUGCUGGUUCCCUGUGCUGUACACCUGGG